UACGUAGGGUGCAAGCGUUGUUCGGAAUUACUGGGCGUAAAGGGCGCGUAGGCGGGUGUGUAAGUCGGCUGUGAAAUCCCCGGGCUUAACCUGGGAAUGGCAGAUGAUACUGCACAUCUUGAGUGUUUGAGAGGAUGGCGGAAUUCCAGGUGUAGAGGUGAAAUUCGUAGAUAUCUGGAAGAACACCGGAGGCGAAAGCGGCUGUCUGGCAAUACACUGACGCUAAGGCGCGAAAGCGUGGGGAUCAAACAGG
rnacentral:rRNA from 1 species